CCGGAUUCCCAGCCGUAACUAUGCGCGUAGUGUGCUUUACUACGAGUACCGGGGUGCCGAAGUGAAAACGUGAAACGUGCGCCUGGGAAGUACGGUCGCAAGGCUGAAACUUAAAGGAAUGGCGGGGGAGCACCACAACGGGUGGAGCUGCGGUUUAAUUGGACUCAACGCCGGGCAGCUCACCGGAUAGGACAGCGGAAUGAUAGCCGGGCUGAAGACCUUGCUUGACCAGCUGAGAGGAGGUGCAUGGCCGUCGUCAGUUCGUACUGUGAAGCAUCCUGUUUAGUCAGGCAACGAGCGAGACCCACGCCAACAGUUGCUAGCAUGUUCUCCGGAAUGAUGAGGACACUGUUGGGACCGCCUCUAAAAGGAGGGAGGAAGGAAUGGGCAACGGUAGGUCAGCAUGCCCCGAAUUAUCCGGGCUACACGCGGGCUACAAUGGUCAGGACAAUGGGAAACGGCACUGAAAGGUGUAGUCAAUCUCCUAAACCUGUCCCAAGUUCGGAUUGUGGGCUGCAACUCGCCCACAUGAAGCUGGAAUCCGUAGUAAUCGCGUUUCAAAAUAGCGCGGUGAAUAAGUCCCUG
rnacentral:rRNA from 1 species